rnacentral:rRNA from 1 species
ACUAAAUAGAUACCCGGGUAGUCCACGCCCUAAACGAUGUCUACUAGUUGUUGGUGGAGUAAAAUCCAUGAGUAAACGCAGCUAAACGCGUGAAGUAGACCGCCUGGGGAGUACGGUCGCAAGAUUAAAACUCAAAGGAAUUGACGGGGGCCCGGCACAAGCGGUGGAUUAUGUGGAUUAAUUACGAUGCAACGCGAAAAACCUUAACCUGGCCUUGACAUGCCACUAACGAAGCAGAGAUGCAUUAGGUGCCCGUAACGGGAAAGUGGACACAGGUGCUGCAUGGCUGUCGUCAGCUCGUGUCGUGAGAUGUUGGGUUAAGUCCCGCAACGAGCGCAACCCUUGCCAUUAAUUGCCAUCAUUUAG